AGCGAACGCUGGCGGCAGGCUUAACACAUGCAAGUCGAGCGGGCAUCUUCGGAUGUCAGCGGCAGACGGGUGAGUAACACGUGGGAACGUACCCUUCGGUUCGGAACAACUCUGGGAAACUGGAGCUAAUACCGGAUACGCCCUUAUGGGGAAAGGUUUACUGCCGAAGGAUCAGCCCGCGUCUGAUUAGCUAGUUGGUGGGGUAACGGCCUACCAAGGCGACGAUCAGUAGCUGGUCUGAGAGGAUGAUCAGCCACACUGGGACUGAGACACGGCCCAGUCUCCUACGGGAGGCAGCAGUGGGGAAUAUUGGACAAUGGGCGCAAGCCUGAUCCAGCCAUGCCGCGUGAGUGAUGAAGGCCUUAGGGUUGUAAAGCUCUUUUGUCCGGGACGAUAAUGACGGUACCGGAAGAAUAAGCCCCGGCUAACUUCGUG
rnacentral:rRNA from 1 species